rnacentral:misc_RNA from 1 species
GAUAAGAACGUAGCGAAAUGCGAUAAGUAAUGUGAAUUGCAGAAUUCAGUGAAUCAUCGAAUCUUUGAACGCACAUUGCGCCCGCCAGUAUUCUGGCGGGCAUGCCUGUCCGAGCGUCAUUUCAACCAUCAAGCCCCGGGCUUGUGUUGGGGACCUGCGUCCGACGCAGGCCCUGAAAACCAGUGGCGGGCUCGCUGUCCACACCGAGCGUAGUAACUAACCUCGCUAUGGAGUGGCGCGGGCGCCUGCCGUAAAACCCCCAAUUUCACAAGGUUGACCUCGGAUCAGGUAGGAAUACCCGCUGAACUUAAGCAUAUCAAUAAGCGGAGGA